AUGCCCCCACCUACUUCUGACUGUGAGUCUACCAGGGAGGCUUUUGAUAUUUACGAAAAGAACCUGACAAUUGCUGAAUGGCCAAUUGAACUGAGGUUAGGAGAGCCAUCUUACAGAAAAGUAACAGGCAGAGCCCAAGUGAAGCAAGCUGCUCAAACAGCAGAAGAUGCCAUGCAGAUAAUGGAACAGAUGACCAAAGACAAGUCUGAGACGCUGGCCCCCUUGGAGGACACCAAGCAAAGAAAUGCAAAACUACAGAAUGAAUUGGACACACUUAAAGAAAACAACUUGAAAAAUGUGGAAGAGCUGAACAAAUCAAAGGAGCUCUUGACUGUAGAGAAUCAGAAAAUGGAAGAAUUCAGGAAAGAAAUAGAAACCCUAAAGCAGGCAGCAGCUCAGAAGUCCCAGCAGCUUUCAGCAUUGCAAGAAGAGAACAUUAAACUUGCCGAGGAGCUGGGGAGAAGCAGAGAUGAAGUCACAAGUCAUCGAAAGCUGGAAGAGGAAAGAUAUGUGCUCAGUAAUCAGUUGUUAGAAAUGAAAAAAAGAGAAUCCAAGUACAUAAAAGAUGCAGAUGAAGAAAAAAAAGCCUCCUUGCAAAAAUCCAUCAGUAUAACUAGUGCCUUACUCACAGAAAAGGAUGCAGAGCUGGAAAAACUGAGAAAUGAGGUCACAGUGCUCAGGGGAGAAAACGCCUCUGCCAAGUCCUUGCAUUCAGUUGUUCAGUCUCUAGAGUCUGAUAAGGUGAAGCUUGAGCUCAAGGUAAAGAACUUGGAGCUUCAACUCAAAAAAACAAGAGGCAGCUCAACAGCUCCUCAGAUAAUACUGAUACUCAGGCAGAAGAGGAUGAAAGAGCCCAGGAGAAUCAGAUUGAUUUCCUAAAUUCAGUAAUAGUGGACCUUCGAAGGAAGAAUCAAGAUCUGAAGAUGAAGGUAGAGAUGAUGUCAGAAGCAGCCCUCAAUGGGAAUGGGGAUGAUCUCAACAAUUAUGACAGUGAUGACCAGGAGAAACAGUCUAAGAAGAAGCCUCACCUCUUCUGUGACAUAUGUGACUGCUUUGACCUGCAUGACACAGAGGAUUGUCCUACCCAGACACAGAUGUCUGAUGACCCUCCCCACUCUACACACCAUGGCAGUCGGAGUGAGGAACGCCCGUACUGUGAGAUCUGCGAGAUGUUUGGCCACUGGGCAGCCAAUUGCAAUGACGAUGAGACCUUCUGAUGAAGCCUCAAGUCAAGAACUUGGC